UACGGAGGGGGCUAGCGUUGUUCGGAAUCAUUGGGCGUAAAGAGCGCGCAGGCGGCUUGGCAAGUCGGGUGUGAAAUCCCGGGGCUCAACCCCGGGACUGCAUUCGAUACUGUCAGGCUAGAGGUAGGUAGGGGAGAUCGGAAUUCCUGGUGGUAGCGGUGAAAUGCGGCAAGAUAUCGGGAGGAACACCGGUGGCGAAGGCGGUUCUCUGGGCCUUCCUGACGGCUGAGGAGCGAAAGCCGUGGGGAGCGAACAGG
rnacentral:rRNA from 1 species